UCCGACGUUGUGAAAUGACUUAUGAGGUGUAGUAUAAGCGGGAGAGCAAUCGAACUUGAAAUACCGCUACUCGUAAUGUUGUUUUACUUAUUUCAUGAUGUGGUGUCCAAUCAUCCUCGCGGGUGCUUGGUUCUAGUUUUAAGCCGUUCUUCGGUGAACCACGUGGAAGACAACGUCAGGUGGGGAGUUUGGCUGGGGCGGCACAUCUG
rnacentral:rRNA from 1 species